ACCAGCUAAUAAGCUCUUGCUACUAACUUAGAUACCAAGCCCUAGAUUUUUUAAAAAUUCAUUAUUUUAUGGCCCUACUAAGGUGAAAAAGGGAAUAUGGAAUGCAUUCAAUUAUUGUGCAAGAAGAACAUUCUAGGGAUUGGUGGGUAUCUCAGUGGUAGAGUAUGGUAUGCUUAGGCCAUGGAUUUGACCCCCACUCCUCAAAAAAGGAUGAUUUUUCUAAAGUGGAGGACAGAGUAGGAUCAAAUGAGAAUUGGUAUCUGAAAACUGGGCAGAGAUCAUCCUGUGACUGUGAAUGAUUUUUCCUUGCCACAGUAUAUAGUAAGGAAAGGUCAUCAGGGCCUCUGGAAUCCCUCCCUCAGCAAAUUCGAAAGCCAAAAGAAAGAAAGAAACUAUGGCUGUAUUGACAUCUCCUUUAUUUUUGGAUUCAAGAUUCCAUACUCUGAAAUCUCAAUAUUCUGAAUGAGUCAAGGUUUUCCCAUUCUGUCUGUAAUACAUCUUUUUUUUUGGGGGGGGGGAAGGGGUGGUAUUGGAUUUGAGCUAACAGUUGGAGCUUUACAACAAAAUCUUUAGCAAGCAAAUUUCAAAUAGUUUGGAAGAUAUUUGUUUAUUGAAGUUGCCUUCCAGUAAUGGAACCAAAAUAUGAGAAAGAAGCUGUGGUUACAAAUGAUCAGCAAUCUCAUUGUAUGAUAAGCCCCAUGGACAAAUGGAAGCAGUUCACAGGUGAGUCUCUCUUUCCCAUGGGAAAUGGCCUGCCAUUGAUGCUCUUGAAAGAUAAGCAGACAUUCUCCAACAGAAAAUAAAAGGAACCUCAUUCAUAAACAUUCUUUCACAUUUUGUCUGAUAAAAUGAAUGAUCCAACUCACUCUUGCAAAAAUGUAUCAUUAACAAGGUGAGAAUUGCAAAGUUAGCAAAGUCCUCAUAUAUUUGAAAAGUGAUGUCACAAACAGACAAUCAUCUCUAAAAUACUCUUUAAUACUUUUGGGGGAUUGUCAACUAGAGCUGUCUGGCCUACCCUAGGGGAUAGUAUCAGUAUCUUGGGGAAAACAGAGACAAGUGCCCAGGACCUUCUAUCUAAUAAGAUAUGUAAGCAGUCUCCUUCCCUGGCCCAUAGACUCUUCAAGGAUUCUGCUACUUUCCAGCAACUGAAGCCUCCAGCUUAUCAACUGCCCCAUUCAGAAUAUGCAAGACAUCCCGACACCACCCCAGUAGACCAUGAGUUACCCUCCGCCUGCGUCUCUGUCCUCCCUUCAUCUUCUCGUAGAGGAGUUUCUUGUUCUAGAAUGGGGAGAAAAGAAAACAUCAAUGCCGGAAGUAUGGAUCAAAUUUGGUGAAUGUCUGUUUUAAAAGCAAUCCUUGGUGUGUGCCCUGGAUAUUUGCAUACACAUAUUUUGGAAACAAAGCUAGAUGAAAGGAAUGGCAUGUAGAACGAUAGACCACAAGAGAAAAGCGGGUGGCUGUGCAGCUUUUCAAUAAAGUCCCCUGCAAUGCCCUGAGGCACACAGUGUCAUCAGCAAUCCCAUAAACAGGAAAGCGUGACAGUCCAACAUACCAGGGCGCUGGAAACCCAUCUCCUCACUGUGAACAGCCUUGGAUUAAAAUAAAUAAUUUUAUCUCGACAUCUAACUCCCCUUUUUAUGAACUGUGCACAUACAUAAACUGUUCUCAAGAGCCGUGUCUGACUACUAACAUCAAACCCUGUGUAAAUAAACGGACGCUGACUUCUGCGGC